rfam:Brachypodium distachyon strain Bd21 chromosome 1, whole genome shotgun sequence.
CACUUAUUCCCUCCGUCCAGUAAAAGAUGUCUCAAUUUUGAUUAAAUUUAAAUGCAUCUAUACACUAAAUCGUGUCUAAAUACAUCUAAAUUUUAACAAAUUUAAGACAUCUUUUGUUGGACGGAGAGAGUAAUAG